AGCAUCAUUAGUAGGAUUUAGAUGCCAUUUUGUUGAUAACAUCUCCAAUGUAUAAUUAAUGAGGAUUUAACACCAACAUUAUGGAGACAUUGGAAAAAUUGUAAAUGGCUGUGUUAGUGAAGUCGGAAAAAUCAUUAUGGUCAAGUGCUUGGCCAAAAAUAUUGCAUCAAAAUUGGUAAUUAAUUGUCUAAUGAUGUAAAAGGUGCAAAUCUAAU
rnacentral:misc_RNA from 1 species